CUUGCUAAGUUUGAUGGCGACCGGCGCACGGGUGAGUAACACGUAUCCAACCUGCCCUUUACUCGGGGAUAGCCUUUCGAAAGAAAGAUUAAUACCCGAUGGCAUAAUGAUUCCGCAUGGUUUCAUUAUUAAAGGAUUCCGGUAAAGGAUGGGGAUGCGUUCCAUUAGGUUGUUGGUGAGGUAACGGCUCACCAAGCCUUCGAUGGAUAGGGGUUCUGAGAGGAAGGUCCCCCACAUUGGAACUGAGACACGGUCCAAACUCCUACGGGAGGCAGCAUG
rnacentral:rRNA from 1 species